AUUGAACGCUGGCGGCAGGCCUAACACAUGCAAGUCGAGCGGAGCGGCGGACGGGUGAGUAAUGCCUAGGAAUCUGCCUGGUAGUGGGGGAUAACGUCCGGAACAGGUAGCUAAUACCUCAUACCAUCGGAUGUGCCCAGAUGGGAUUAGCUAGUAGGUGGGGUAAUGGCUCACCUAGGCGACGAUCCCUAGCUGGUCUGAGAGGAUGAUCAGUCACACUGGAACUGAGACACGGUCCAGACUCCUACGGGAGGAAGCAGUGGGGAAUAUUGGACAAUGGGCGAAAGCCGGAUCCAGCCAUGCCGCGUGUGUGAAGAAGGUCUUCGGAUUGUAAAGCACUUUAAGUUGGGAGGCGUUACCAACAGAAUAAGCACCGGCUAACUUCGUGCCAGCAGCCGCGGUAAUUC
rnacentral:rRNA from 1 species